UUCUACUGAACAAAUCAGCAUGGGAAAAAGAAAAAGAAACUCCGCAUCAACAAACUCUACUGAACAGAGCAGCGUGGGAAAAAGAAAAAGAAACCCCGUAUCAACCGACUCGGUUCUUCGAAAUUGUAUUGGUGAUUUGCCUUUUGUUAGUAUUUUUUAUUUGUAGAUUUUCCUUUGGCGAAUUACUUUAGAAUCAUACCUUGUCUUAAGGUGUUGCAUUCCUGAUAAUAUCGUUGUUUACUAACGCAAAAUCUUAAUGCAAAUUACGUUAGUUCUGUGGUUGUUUUGGUGACCAUAAUGGGGGCUUCUUUCUUACAAAAAAGCGUAGAGAUACUGGGGUUGGAUAGGAGUAAUGUGUAUUGGGUGGUAGUUUCCUUUAUACUCCAAGGGUGAAUGUUAUUAGUGUCUGCCAAGAACCUUACUGGAACUUUUACUAUAGGAAUAGAAACGAGAUACAAAUAUUGAACUGCAUACAGUUUUGGUGUAGAAUUGUAGUGUCAGAUUAAAGAAUAGAAACGAGAUACCAAUACAGUUUUGCUGUAAUACUGUAGUCGUUUCAUACAAUGCAUAAACAAGUGAGAGGAAGUUACAUUGAUCAUUGCACACAUGUAGAAAACUGGUGGCAGAGUCAUCUCCAUUUUGUUACUUACCCAAUAAAAUAUAUAUUUUUUAAUACGUACUAACAUUUCCUCAAAUUUUGUUUUGUAAUAAUUAAAAUUAUUUGCCACCCCCACACUAUAAAUUUUACUUUUGUGGGUAUUGUUUUUUAAGUUUUUAAAUUUCUAAAGAUUUCUUACCAUACCAGUGAGUUAAAAUUUUAUUUCACGUGCGCUUCUUUUUUACAUGCUUACAAUACUAAAUUCUCAUCUUCCUAUAUAUAUGAACUAGAACAUCAAUGGACGAAGGUCAGGAAAGUCAAAUGUGAGAAUCUGCACCAGGAAUAUCGCUCUUCUUGCAGUAAGUCUUGCUCUAAUUAUUUAUUGCAAGACUAAACAAUGUUAUGCAUACAACCAUUGCAUGUAUUUCAUUAAGGUUGAAUUUAAGGCCUGUGCAAUGAUUCUUUUAUCUAACUUCGAAUAACCUUUUGUGGUCGAUGGUUGUUAUUUAUAAUUUAUAUAACCUUUCAACUUAUUAUACUUUUAGUUUGACAGUUUGCUAAGACUUGAAAAAUUAGAUUUAUAAAUACGUGUUAAGUGUAUAAAUAAUACUUCCACGACAAGUUUGACGUUAUAACUCAAAACAAGUGAUGAAGUCGAUACUACGAUCAAUGAGUAUAAGUUGUGUUCAUGCUAUCACCUAUACUACUCCCGUGUUCUCUUCUAUCCAGUGUUAUGACCUAAGCUCUGGAUACAACCAUUGCAUGUCUUUAAGGUAGCAUUUUACGUGUUAAUGCACUGGUUCUUUUAUCUAACUUUGAAAACCAUUUCGUGAUCGGAGGCUGUUGCUUAUAAGUUAUAAUCUUUGAACUCAUCAAAUAUAUAAUUUUAUUUUGACGUUAUUUAUUUUCUGCUCUUCUAUUUUUUUACUAUCAGAUGUAGUUAUCCAUGUCUUCGAAUGAAAGCAUUUAGCUUUUCAAAUUAUUUAGAGCAAACUUUUCAUUCGGAUAUGCUUCAUUCCAAUGCAUCAUGAAAGACAGAAUACUACUAUUCUGCAUCUUAUAGGUUAGGAGUUCAUAGUGAAUGACCAAUUACUACUAUUCUGCAUUAUAACUAAACAUUCCACUCACUUAAAUUUCCCACUGUAGGUUUCAUAUAACCUCUCCCCUGCCCUGUACUUAAAUUUCUUGAUAUGUCCCUUUAUAUAUGGUAACAAGAUUUUUCGUUUACUAUUUUAUGUCUAUCAGUUGCAAAUUGAAUUGAGGAACCAGAUCUGCUCUAUAAUACCCUUACAGUUUAAUUAGUAAAAAAAAGUAUCCCUUAUAGUGAUUCGCUUAAUGUUAUGACAAGUAAGACUCCCGUUGCUUUGCACUCUCUAAUUGAUUUUAUACACUUACCAUCAAUCUUUAUAUAGCUCGAGUUUAAAAGCAGUGUCAAUGAUAAGUUUGUAGGUAAUCUAGCAAAGGUUUGUGUUAGUGCACAAGAAAUAUAUCUGGUGAAGUUAAUGAAACUGUCCAAUUUUCAUAUUGUAUACCUAUAACACUGAAGCUAUUCCUUUCCCCAGCUUUUUGUUUGGAUACAAAGAGGUAAAUAUGUCUACAUUUGAAUUUCAAGAAUUCUGAGCACCUCAUGAAAUACAUUUUUGUUUUCCUUAUUUAAUUUUGAUUAGUUGAUAUGAAGGCUCAUGCAAAUGUUUUUGUUGUUGUGUAAUUUACCUCAGAUUUGCAGAAUCGCAGAUGAUACUGAUAAUGUUGCAGUUGUGGUCCACCGUCACAUAUAAGGUGGGUUCUCUAUGAUUGAUGAAGUAUAAUAAGGUGAUUUUAUCUGACUUCACAUGUUUUUAUUUAUGGAAGAGAAAUUUUGGUAGUUAACUAUGAGAGUGAGUAUGUCAUACAACCCUCCCAUAUCAUGUUGCUAUUAUUUAAUAUGAUAAAAAAAAAAUUGUUGGUCCCAGUUCCAAGAGUAUAUUAUUUUCUUUCAUUAAGAUUUCGAGCCCUGAAAAGUUCAUGUAGAUUAUGAACGACCCACAUGGAUAAUUAUGAAAUAUUGAAUAUUUGUUCUUCUCUUUUAAUGCAGAUUUGAGUGAACGAUUGCACAAAAUGGUUCAAACUCAAAGCCGGCGAAAAUUUGCUAC
rnacentral:lncRNA from 1 species